rnacentral:sRNA from 1 species
AUGUUGCGUGAAGGAUAGCAGCGGAAAUCCUCCCGUUUUUCAGGGAGAUUGUAGCGGAUAGCCUGACCUUGU